rnacentral:rRNA from 1 species
AAACUAACAAGGAUUCCCCUAGUAACGGCGAGUGAAGAGGGAAGAGCCCAAGAUUGAAAGCUGGCGUCUUCGGCGUCCGCAUUGUAAUCUCAAGAAGUGUUUUCCGCUUCGGACCAUGCCUAAGUCCCUUGGAAAAGGGCAUCAUAGAGGGUGAUAAUCCCGUACAUGGCAUGGAGCGCCCGAAGCUUUGUGAUACGCUUUCUACGAGUCGAGUUGUUUGGGAAUGCAGCUCAAAAUGGGUGGUAAAUGCCAUCUAAGGCUAAAUAUUGGGGAGAGACCGAUAGCGAACAAGUACAGUGAUGGAAAGAUGAAAAGAACUUUGAAAAGAGAGUUAAACAGUACGUGAAAUUGCCAAAAGGGAAGGGUAGGAGGUCAGAGAUGCGUCUUGGGAUUCAGCCUUGCUUUUGCAUGGUGUUUUUCCCAAGUUGCAGGCCAACGUCGGUUUUGGGCACUGGAGAAGGGUAGGAGGAACGUGGCACCUCUCGGGGUGUGUUAUAGCCUCCUACUGGAUACAGCGACCGAGACCGAGGAACGCAGCGUACUCGUAAGAGCGGGCCUUUUGGCACCUUUACGCUUAGGGCGUUGGCAUAAUGGCCCUCUACCACCCGUCUUG